AAGGGAAACCUGUGCGAGCGCUCUCUGGCUUCCUGUGUGUCGCUCUUUGUCCUGCUUCCCUGCACCGCGCUCGCCGUGUACUACCUUCUGCUGCAGACCUUCAUCCUGCGCCUCGAGUUCCUGCUCAACGCCGUGCUGCUCUGCUUCUACGGCCUCGAGUUCCUGCUCGGGCUCAUCUCCAUAUCUGCCUUCUCCAGGGCCAAAGUGUACUGAGGAGCAAACGCCACAGGAUGAGUCAGCAGAGGUUUCUGUAAAUAUCUGCCAUGUUUGAUCAAGUUUUUUACCUUCAUGAAACUGUUUCUGUAAAUAAACUUUCUGAUUUCUACGUCACAAUUAA